UUCUGCUAGGCGGACUUAAUCCACAGGACGGCACUAUUGCAUUGCACAGAUCUCUUCUGUCCAGCUCACACACGCAUUUCCGGUUUCAUCUCCAUGCGGUCUCCUGACUUAUUUUUCUUCCUUUGACCUCCUGCAUCAAGAGUGUGCAGUCAUGGUAAACGUACCGAAGACCCGCAGGACUUACUGCAAGAAAUGUAAGAAACAUCAAACUCACAAAGUUACCCAGUACAAGAAGGGGAAGGAUUCUCUGUAUGCACAGGGCAAAAGGAGAUAUGACAGAAAGCAAUCUGGUUAUGGUGGCCAGACCAAGCCUAUUUUCAGGAAGAAGGCUAAAACUACAAAGAAGAUCGUGUUGAGGCUGGAGUGUGUGGAGCCCAACUGUCGGCAGAAGAGAAUGGUGCCCAUCAAGAGAUGCAAACACUUUGAACUGGGAGGAGACAAGAAGAGAAAGGUAAACAUACUGGUUCUCCUCAGUUUUGAGAGCCAGCAAACUUGGCUUCUACUCGAAGCCUAAUGGAGAGCAUUGCUUGGAAAUAAGGGAAUAGGCAGACGGUGGUUUUAAUGAGAUUGACACUAAUACGAUUGAGUUAAUGAGUGGUGAUUUGAAUCUUUGCAGCAAUCUGAAAUGCCAAUUUCUAAUGUCUUUUUUCUCACUCUUUCAGGGCCAGGUCAUCCAGUUUUGAGCUCUUUUCUUGGGUCACUUGUCAAUAAAAUAUGUAUUCUAACUGUA